AUGGAGAGUCAGGCGGUAUAUGCUGAUUUAAACUUACCCAGGGAUUCUGGCAUUGGAAAGUCAUCACCUCCAUCUCGUCUUCAGAAUCUUCGUCAGGGUCCACGUUGGCACAACUUUUCCCUGAAAUUUGGUUGUGCUGUGAUUAUACUUCUUGCCUUGACUGUGACUGGGUUGAGUGUUUCAGUGAUACUCAUAAGACAAAAUACAUCAAUAGAAAAAACCAGCAUGGAUGCUCAAGAGAACGGGAAGGAAGCAACAGAGAGACCAGUUCUGUUAAGGUGUCCAAUGCACUGGCAACAAAUCCGAGAUAAAUGCUUAUAUUUUACUGAAACUUCCAAACCUUGGAAUGAGAGUCUAGCUGACUGUUACACAAGAGAAUCCAGUCUACUGCUUAUUCAAGAUCAUGAAGAAUUGAGACUUUUACAAAACCUGAUAAAGAAAAGAGGAAUUCUGCUUUGGAUUGGAUUAAACUUUACAUUAUCAGAGAAGAACUGGAAGUGGAUAAAUGGAUCCAUUUUAAAUUCUAAUAUAUUACACAUUUCUGGUGAUGUUAAAGAAGCCCACUGUGUUUGCAUAUCAAGAACACAACUUAUUUCUGAACGCUGUGCUGCAGAAAAUAGAUGGAUCUGCCAAAAAGAACUACCUGUCAGAAGUAAA
rnacentral:lncRNA from 1 species